GUCCUAGCCGUAAACGUUGGAUACUAAAUAUUGUGCAUUAUUUAAUUAAUGUUAAAUUGUGCAGUGUUGUAGCUAACGCGAUAAGUAUCUCGCCUGGGAAGUACGCUCGCAAGAGUGAAACUCAAAAGAAAUUGACGGGAGCCCCGCACAAGCGGUGGAUUAUGUGGUUUAAUUCGAUGCAACACGAAGAACCUUACCAGGACUUGACAUGAAAAGAAAUUCUUUGAAAAAGGAAUGUGCUAAGGCCUUUUACACAAGUGGUGCAUGGCUGUCGU
rnacentral:rRNA from 1 species